CCAAAACAUGGUUAUGAGCAGAGUGACUAUUGGACCUGGUCUCCAGAUGAAUGCUAACUUCUUCUUCUUCUUCUGGGGAACAACACGCCGAGCAACCGUUGGCUCAGACGACUUCCCAAGGUGAUGACUCCGUAUUGUGUUUACAGCUUGUGGGGAACAAACCCGUAACACCACAUAUCGUCCCACGGCACCUUCUGCUCCUCAGCUCCUCCUCGGCUCCUCCUCAGCUGCUCCUCAGCUCCUCCUCGGCUCCUCUCGCGUCCCCCGUGCCAGUGCAGCUGCCAGUCAAGCCAGCGGAGGACGGAGGGCAGAAAUGAACGGGAACAAGAGGAGGAAUCGGGUGAGAUUGGCAGUCGGGAGGAAGGCCACAAAGGGUGAAGACAUCCGGCGGACUCGAUGCCUCGAGAUCAGACAAUCAGACCUGAUGGCUUUGGGAGGCUCAGUCAGCUUAGGGCUCGGAAAAUGAUGGGAGGAUGAUGAGGAGGGUUAGAGGAUCUCAGCGAGGAAUAGGAGCAGCAGCAGGAGGAGGAGGAGGAGGAGGAGGAAAGAGAAAUGGUAUUGGAGUAAAUAACAGCAACACAAAAGGACAAAGGAUUCAGAGAUGGAGAUUGCAGAAAAGCCGAACCUCUGGCAGUGGAAGUGGGGUGUUUUUUUUCUUCUUCCCACUGAGGGCUUUGAGUAGAUCGCCAUUGUUUCGUGUCACCAAACUGCCCCCCCCCACCCCGAAGGGCAACCCCUUCCUGGGCGUAAACAGACGAGUCGAAGGUGAAGGGCAGCGGGGGACGGACGGACAGAUGGAACGAUGGGAUUUCUACCCCUAAGAAAGCCGCCAGCGUCGGGUUUCAUGUCCUUCACCCCGAUCCUGCAGGAGUAGCGUUAAAACAACGCCUCCCCUCCUUCUCCCCCCUUUUUCUCCCGCUCUGUCUCUCCUUUUCUCUCCACCCACUCUCUCAUUAAAACUGUGCGCCUCGGCUUCUAAUUAAAUCCCACUUGAAAGUCUUAAAAGUCAGACUCAGAUUGAUUCAAUUUGCAUUUCUGAACAGGGAACAUUGCCUAAAAGGAUUAAUAAAUUGGUUGAAAAUGCCUCUUUCUGCAAUGUGCUGUUGUUGCUUGUAAGACAACACCCAUCCGAUACCUAUUUUUCUCGCAUUCUUACGCUGUUUUCUACACAUUCUCACACAAACGCAAGUGAGACGCAGUGAAGCCAGAAUCCCAUUCAUCCAAUUGUCCCCGAAAAACACUCACACACGAGUGCGCCGGCAUUCGCCGUGGUGAUUCCUCCCUUCAGUCGUCAAUUGAAUUCACAUGUUAGCAACACACACUGUGGUGGGUGAACAUACACGUAUGCCACAUCUUGCAGCCGCACACACUGAAGCAGGCAGAGGCCUACACACAAACACACACACACACACAAUUGCCACAUUCACACAUGGCAGCAGUGUAACACUGUUGGCAGACUUCCAAAAUGUUCAGCAGAAUGUGAUGGAAGCAUACAAGGAGAGGAUGGCGUGU
ensembl:lncRNA